UACGGAGGGUGCGAGCGUUGUCCGGAAUCACUGGGCGUAAAGGGCGCGUAGGCGGCGCGGGGAGUCAACGGUGAAAGCUCGGCGCUCAACGCCGAGUCGGCCGUCGAUACUCCCCGUGCUCGAGCACUGUAGAGGCAGGUGGAAUUCCGGGUGUAGCGGUGGAAUGCGUAGAGAUCCGGAAGAACACCGGUGGCGAAGGCGGCCUGCUGGGCAGUAGCUGACGCUGAGGCGCGACAGCGUGGGGAGCAAAC
rnacentral:rRNA from 1 species